GGUAGUGGCUCAGCGGUAGAGUGCUCAACUAGCAUAUGCAAGGCCCUGAGUUCGAUUCUUAGCACCA
rnacentral:tRNA from 1 species